UGGGGAAUAUUGCACAAUGGGCGCAAGCCUGAUGCAGCCAUGCCGCGUGUGUGAAGAAGGCCUUCGGGUUGUAAAGCACUUUCAGCGAGGAGGAAGGUGGUGAGCUUAAUACGCUCAUCAAUUGACGUUACUCGCAGAAGAAGCACCGGCUAACUCCGUGCCAGCAGCCGCGGUAAUACGGAGGGUGCAAGCGUUAAUCGGAAUUACUGGGCGUAAAGCGCACGCAGGCGGUUUGUUAAGUCAGAUGUGAAAUCCCCGGGCUCAACCUGGGAACUGCAUUGAAACUGGCAGCUAGAGUCUCGUAGAGGGGGUAGAAUUCCAGGUGUAGCGGUGAAAUGCGUAGAGAUCUGGAGGAAUACCGGUGGCGAAGGCGGCCCCCUGGACGAAGACUGACGCUCAGGUGCGAAAGCGUGGGGAGCAAACAG
rnacentral:rRNA from 1 species